rnacentral:rRNA from 1 species
GGUGAACGCUGGCGGCGUGCUUAAGACAUGCAAGUCGAACGGCAGUCUUCGGACUGUAGUGGCGCACGGGUGAGUAACGCGUAACUGACCUACCCCAAAGUCGCGGAUAACGAUUCGAAAGAAUCGCUAAUACGUGAUGUGCUGUCAGAUUGUGUUCUGCCAGUAAAGAUUGAUUGCUUUGGGAGGGGGUUGGGUUCCAUCAGAUAGUUGGUGGGGUAAAGGCCAACCAAGGCGACGAGGGAUGGCCGGCCUGAGAGGGUGGCCGGCCACAGGGGCACUGAGACACGGGUCCCACUCCUACGGGAGGCAGCAGUUAGGAAUCUUCCACAAUGGGCGAAAGCCUGAUGGAGCGACGCCGCGUGAGGGAUGAAGGUCUUCGGAUCGUAAACCUCUGAAUCAGGGACGAAAGACACUUCGGUGGGAUGACGGUACCUGAGUAAUAGCACCGGCUAACUCCGUGCCAGCCGCCGCCGUAAAAC